UACAGAGGGGGCAAGCGUUGUUCGGAAUUACUGGGCGUAAAGGGCGCGUAGGCGGCCUACUAAGUCGGACGUGAAAUCCCCGGGCUCAACCCGGGAACUGCGUCCGAUACUGGAAGGCUUGAAUCCGGGAGAGGGAUGCGGAAUUCCAGGUGUAGCGGUGAAAUGCGUAGAUAUCGGGAGGAACACCAGUGGCGAAGGCGGCUUCCUGGCCUGUUCUUGACGCUGAGGCGCGAAAGCUAGGGGAGCAAACGGG
rnacentral:rRNA from 1 species